UACGUAGGUGGCAAGCGUUGUCCGGAAUUAUUGGGCGUAAAGCGCGCGCAGGCGGUCCUUUAAGUCUGAUGUGAAAGCCCACGGCUCAACCGUGGAGGGUCAUUGGAAACUGGGGGACUUGAGUACGGAAGAGAAGAGUGGAAUUCCACGUGUAGCGGUGAAAUGCGUAGAGAUGUGGAGGAACACCAGUGGCGAAGGCGACUCUUUGGUCUGUAACUGACGCUGAGGCGCGAAAGCGUGGGGAGCAAACAGG
rnacentral:rRNA from 1 species